UAUGUGAUCGUCUCUCGCAUAUCAAUAAGCGGAGGAAAAGAAACUAACAAGGAUUCCCCUAGUAACGGCGAGUGAAGCGGGAAGAGCUCAAAUUUGAAAUCUUAAAGGGUUUCCCUUUACGAAUUGUAGUUUAAAGAAGUGUUUUCUGUUGAGGUUUUGGUAAAAGUUCUUUGGAAUAGGACAUCAUAGAGGGUGAGAAUCCCGUAUUUGACCUUUACUUUCAACUUUGUGAUACACUUUCAAAGAGUCGGAUUGUUUGGGAAUGCAGCCCAAAAUGGGUGGUAAAUUUCAUCUAAAGCUAAAUAUUGGCGAGAGACCGAUAGCGAACAAGUACCGUGAGGGAAAGAUGAAAAGAACUUUGAAAAGAGAGUUAAACAGUACGUGAAAUUGUCAAAAGGGAAGCGUUUGACACCAGUGUUGUUUUUCUGAAAAUCAAUUAAAGAACUGUUUAUGCUAAGCUGUUUAGACUUUAUCAGCUAUCUGUUUAGUUUUGAGCUUUUCUUUAAUGCACUUUUCAGUUAACAGGUCAACAUCAAUUUCUUUUGCUGUAAAAAAGCUUGAGGAAGGUGGCUUGAGAUUCGUCUUAAGUGUUUAUAGCCUCUUGCCUAUGCAGUCGGAGAGAUUGAGGUCUGCAGCGUAGAUCCUUCCGGGGCUAAAUGCAUUUGUGCUAAGUUAUAGCAUUUUAUAGACAACUUGUUGACUAUGAUUUGUCUUGUAGCUUACUCGCUUAUGUUAUUUUACCUACGCUUAGGAUGUUGACUGAUAUGUAGUCGUA
rnacentral:rRNA from 1 species